rnacentral:rRNA from 1 species
GUAUUAGCUAGUAGGUGAGGUAACGGCUCACCUAGGCGACGAUACAUAGCCGACCUGAGAGGGUGAUCGGCCACACUGGGACUGAGACACGGCCCAGACUCCUACGGGAGGCAGCAGUAGGGAAUCUUCGGCAAUGGGGGCAACCCUGACCGAGCAACGCCGCGUGAGUGAAGAAGGUUUUCGGAUCGUAAAGCUCUGUUGUAAGUCAAGAACGAGUGUGAGAGUGGAAAGUUCACACUGUGACGGUAGCUUACCAGAAAGGGACGGCUAACUACGUGCCAGCAGCCGCGGUAAUACGUAGGUCCCGAGCGUUGUCCGGAUUUAUUGGGCGUAAAGCGAGCGCAGGCGGUUUGAUAAGUCUGAAGUUAAAGGCUGUGGCUCAACCAUAGUUCGCUUUGGAAACUGUCAAACUUGAGUGCAGAAGGGGAGAGUGGAAUUCCAUGUGUAGCGGUGAAAUGCGUAGAUAUAUGGAGGAACACCGGUGGCGGAAGCGGCUCUCUGGUCUGUAACUGACGCUGAGGCUCGAAAGCGUGGGGAGCGAACAGG